AAAAACUAAUAAAUGACCAAAACUAUAUUUUCAUAAAGUUUCUACUUCUUAUUCUCAAUUUUACGUGAAUAAUUGACAAUUGAAAAUAAUGCGAUUUCGGAUAGUUUUUAUUUAUUUACGACUUAACCAUUCUUAACGUGUGAUGCCUCAUUUGAUAGAUAUCUUUAAUACCUACAAUUUUUAGAGCAAACUUUUUAUGAACCUAUUAUUGGAAUCGUUGUUAUAUCCAAAAAAUCUGUUUUCGAUAACCUUAAAGGUAAUUUACAAAAUCUAUGUCAGAAAUUUUGAGUGGCAAACAUAUAGAAUUUGUUCCUGAAUAUAAUUGUGCGAACGUAAAAACUGACAAAUGACAGAUCGGUUUGUUCUGUAUCUUUGGAUUACAUUUUGAUACGCAAUACAUCAAAGGAAUGAUACGCAUGGGCUUUUAAGCAAUAAGUACAUUACGUCCACCUUUAGAGUUAGAAAUAAUUAAUUAAAUAAUUAAUAAAAUAAAUAAUUAAUAUUAAAAUGGUGAAAAGAUUUUCUUUUGUUUGGUACUUGUUCGACCGUUUACAGAGAGACGCGUUCGCCGUAAAUCGCAACAACGGGAGUUGUAAAUUCCCGUUACGAUUAUCUAAUCGAUGCUACGAAAUGAUCGAUCCCCUAUUUCGUUCAGAAUAAUAGAGGUGGUUGAAUCGAUUAUAACACUGCAGUAACAGGUUACAAUGUAUACUUUAUUCCAACAACUUAAUGGAUUUAACAUUCAAUAGAACGGUGAAUAUGUCAACAGACAGAAUACAAGUUAAGACGGAGUAUAUGAUACACGUCAGUUACGAGUGGAAAUCCCGGGAUAAAUAGGAAAAACAAAGUUUCCCCGAUUUUUUAUUGGUUGGAAUAAUGGCCCUAAGGAAUGGCUCGAAUCGACCUCUACGUUGCAGCAAUUGAGGGCCAUGCAGUUAAAACAUUCUUUUUUUAUUUAUUUGUUGAAAUUACAAUCAAUUUUCGCGUUGAGAAUUUUCAGUAACUUUUCUGGCGUGGCGCAGUGACAUGGCUGUUUAUUUAUAAUAAGUUAAUGCUUAUUAUAGAUAAGUACAAUUUAUAAGUAUUAUAAGAUUACUGCGGGCCGACCUAUGAUGUUUGCACCGCUAGCGGACGUCCCGACCGAAGGUCAGAUUUCAGCCCGUACAGCCGUACAGCCCGUAACAGUACUAAUAGUUUUUGGAUAUAAAUACAGAAGGAAUGGCUUUCUAUAGGAAAUAUCAUGACAGAUUGUUUAAUGUAUUAAUAAUUGUAUAGUUCCAUAAAAAAACUGAAAUUGCCCUUUUUUGGAUCUCUGAACAAUUCUUUACGACAUCUCGAUAAACAGCAUAUAUUUUAAAAUUUUCUACUUUCCUUGCCACAAUAUUAAAUACCGAAUCAUAAAUCUGAUCAUCGCACAGCGGGAGCGACAUAUAGUAUAGAUUGACUA